GUAGGUGAACCUGCGGAAGGAUCAUUAUCAUAACGUAUCCACGUAUAAACCAACUUUACAUUGAUGUGAAACGUAAUUGUUUUAACACCUCGAGAUAAUCAGAUCGAUUGCUGUAUUACAUUGUUUGCGUGAUUAAAGCAAAAACGGUAAUAUGGACUUGUGUUUCGGCACUAGCGCUGAUUAUUUGGAGUGUAAUAAUUUAAUCAACUUUAUUUACCCAUUGAACCGAUUAAUUAUCAUGUAAUACUGAUAGUUAUUCAUUCUAAUCUCUUUGUGUGAACUGAAUUGUUACUUACCCUUAUCGUAACUGAUGAGAGAAGUGAUUAUAUUUACGAAACAUAUAAAUUAUUAUGAACAACUCUUAGCAACGGAUAUCUUGGUUCUC
rnacentral:misc_RNA from 1 species